ACGGGUGAGUAACACGUAGGAAUCUACCCUAAAGCGGGGGACAACCCGAGGAAACUCGGGCUAAUACCGCAUAAGUUCUGAGGAACAAAGCUGGGGUUAAACCUGGCACUUUAGGAGGAGCCUGCGUCUGAUUAGCUAGUUGGUAGGGUAAAGGCCUACCAAGGCGACGAUCAGUAGGUGGUCUGAGAGGAUGAUCACCCACACUGGGACUGAGACACGGCCCAGACUCCUACGGGAGGCAGCAGUGGGGAAUAUUGGACAAUGGGGGCAACCCUGAUCCAGCAAUGCCGCGUGUGUGAAGAAGGCCUUCGGGUUGUAAAGCACUUUAGGCGGGGAAGAAGGUUGGAAUUUUAAGAGAUAACUAACUUGACUGUACCCGCAGAAUAAGCACCGGCUAACUCUGUGCCAGCAGCCGCGGUAAUACAGAGGGUGCAAGCGUUAAUCGGAUUUACUGGGCGUAAAGGGCGCGUAGGUGGUUGCGUAAGUGAGAUGUGAAAUCCCCGGGCUUAACCUGGGACGUGCAUCUUAGACUGCGUAGCUUGAGUGUAGUAGAGGGUAGUGGAAUUUCCGGUGUAGC
rnacentral:rRNA from 1 species